rnacentral:misc_RNA from 1 species
GAAUGCAGCGUUCGAAGGAGGGGAUCGUGAAUUCACAGUUGUGCUCGAUCAGAAACGAAACGCGCAUGCGUGUUGUUUCGUAAAGUUGUCUGUUACGUUGGAGAAACUCGAGAGGAUCAGAAAAUUUUGUGUAACCGUGUUCUCGUCGACGUCGAUCAUCGUCUUCUCGGCGAUACUUCUUUACCGACAGUUUCAAACGAUCAUUGGAAGAAACGACAAAGUGUUUACGUGAACCGUAGCGGAAAUCGACUUCUGGUUCGUUUACACUCGAGACUGUUUACAAUCGUAUAUAACAAAAAUAUUCUGGAUUUACUUCGCUCCAUUCGCUGGCAUAGUAUGGACCUUGAUGACCAAAGAACUGCAACAAGAACAAGCAAAAUUCUUUUUCACAAAGAUUCAUUCAAAGAGUACAAACUGCAAGCGAUAAUAAUAUCAAUAUACAUGGAGCAUUUGCCGAUUCAAUUAUCUAUAAAAUGAGAGGAAUUUCUGUCAAAGGUGCAGCAUGUUCGUAUAACGGCAAGAUAUGAAUUUGUUAAAUCUUUCAAUGUUAUAUAAUAUAUAACAAAGAUACGACAAAUUAGAGUAAUUUAAUUUUAUCAACAAAAAUACAACAUCUAUGUCACUAUACAUUUACAUUUAUAUCAAAGCAUAUUAAAUUAAUUUAAAAG